rnacentral:rRNA from 1 species
GACGAACGCUGGCGGCGUGCUUAACACAUGCAAGUCGAACGGUGAAGCUCCAGCUUGCUGGAGUGGAUCAGUGGCGAACGGGUGAGUAACACGUGAGCAACCUGCCCCUGACUCUGGAAUAAGCGCUGGAAACGGCGUCUAAUACUGGAUACGAGAAGGGUCCGCAUGGGCACUUUCUGGAAGGUUUUUCGGUUGGGGAUGGGCUCGCGGCCUAUCAGCUUGUUGGUGAGGUAAUGGCUCACCAAGGCGACGACGGGUAGCCGGCCUGAGAGGGCGACCGGCCACACUGGGACUGAGACACGGCCCAGACUCCUACGGGAGGCAGCAGUGGGGAAUAUUGCACAAUGGGCGAAAGCCUGAUGCAGCGACGCCGCGUGAGGGAUGACGGCCUUCGGGUUGUAAACCUCUUUCAGCAGGGAAGAAGCGAAAGUGACGGUACCUGCAGAAGAAGCGCCGGCUAACUACGUG